ACGUAGGGGGCAAGCGUUGUCCGGAAUUAUUGGGCGUAAAGAGCGUGUAGGCGGCUAUCCAAGUCCGAUGUGAAAGCUCGGGGCUCAACCCCGAGUCUGCAUUGGAAACUGGAUGGCUUGAGUCCGGAAGAGGAGACUGGAAUUCCUGGUGUAGCGGUGAAAUGCGCAGAUAUCAGGAAGAACACCGGUGGCGAAGGCGGGUCUCUGGGACGGUACUGACGCUGAGACGCGAAAGCGUGGGGAGCAAACAGGAUUAGAUACCCUGGUAGUCCACGCCGUAAACGAUGGGCACUAGGUGUGGGAGGUGUCGACUCCUUCCGUGCCGAAGCUAACGCAUUAAGUGCCCCGCCUGGGGAGUACGGCCGCAAGGCUA
rnacentral:rRNA from 1 species